CCCCUGGUUACCAUGGAAAUGUUCUGACAUAACAGAAUCAGAAUCAGAAUCAGAAUCAGAACAGUGACGUGGGACUGCUGAAGAGUUGAUCAUUUCUACUUUGGAGACUUGAUGGUUCACACUUUCAGACUGAGGGACCACUAGGAUAUCUCCUUCAGGAGCUAACCGAGGAGGCCAGGCUGAUCAAAGAUGACCCGUCUCUGCAGGAAAGUCGGCACCGAAGAAGGAGGGACUUGCUGUGGUCCGUCAGAGAGGGGGUGACACCGCUGACAAAAGAGAAGUCUUUGGUGAAUACGGUUAUGCUUCCUUUAUAAUGGGGGUGACUUGUGUCCCAGGGACACGGAUGUACAAACUGCAGCACUACCUCCGGAGCCAGAUACAGUCAGACCGUCCGCCCGUGCCUGCCUCAAGUUCGACGUCCAAGCCAAUGGGGUCACGGGGGUCUGCUGGAGCCUAUCCCAGCACACAUAGGGUGAAAGGAAGGGGUACACCCUGGACAGGUCGCCAGUCCAUCACAGGGCCACAUAUAGACAGACAACCACACACUCUCACACAUAAAACCC